rnacentral:rRNA from 1 species
AUUGAACGCUGGCGGCAGGCUUAACACAUGCACGUCGAACGAGUGGCGGACGGGUUAGUUAUGAGUGGGACUCUAGCUGAUGGAGGGGGAUAACUAAGGGAAACUGUAGCUAAUUCCGCGUAACUUAGGAUGAGCCCAAGUGGGCUUAGGUAGUUGUUGAGGUAAAGGUUCACCAAGCCGACGAUCUCUAGCUGGUCUGAGAGGAUGACCAGCCACACUGGGACUGAGACACGGCCCAGACUCCUACGGGAGGCAGCAGUGGGGAAUAUUGCGCAAUGGGGGCAACCUGACGCAGCCAUGCCGCGUGAAUGAAGAAGGCCUUCGGGUUGUAAAGUUCUUUCGGUAGCGAGGCGUUAACUACAGAAGAAGCACCGGCUAACUCCGUGCCAGCAGCCGCGGUAAUUC